CCUCUGGCCAAUCAGCGCGGGGGAUGGGUUUGGCGGGAGCAGCUCGUAAGGAGCCGUUGCAGCCGCCUGUUGCGAGGUGGGGAUUCUUCUCUUGCUCGUAGUGGUCUUCAGAUGGGGCCACAGGACACAACCUGCAAAAGACCUACGACUAUACUGGCAGAACUGAAAUGACCUCCAAAUGGCCAGUGGUCUGCUCCUUAAUGAAAGAUGAACUGUAACCCCUCAGGAGCUUCAGGAAGAAAUGCUUUUGAAGAUUCACGAAGGACACCAGGGUAUAAACAAAUGCAGGACAAGAGCACAACAAUCUAUUCGGUGGCCUGCCCUGAGGAAGCAAAUUCAGAUUUUAGUAGAAGGUUAGGAGGAAUGCAUGCAACAAAGAAAAAAUACUAUCUCCAGAGCCAUUACUUUCUACAAAAAUGCCAGAUAGAUCUUGGCAGCAGGUUUCAUAGUUUCAUAGUUGGUAGGGUUGGAAGGGGCCUGAGCAGAUCAUCAAGUCCAACGACCUGCCAUGGGCAGGAAAGAAUGCUGGAGUCAAACGACCCUGGCAAGGUGUCUAUCUAGCCUCCUUUUGAAGACCCCCAGGGUAGGAGCAAGCACCACUUCCCUUGGAAGUUGGUUCUAGAUCCUAGCCGCCCUGACUGUGAAGUAGUGCCUCCUGAUAUCUAGCCUGAAUCUACUCUCCAUCAACUUAUGGCCAUUAUUCCUUGUUACUCCCAGCAGUGCUCAGGGGAACAGGGAUUCUCCCAUUGCCUGCUGGUCUCCCUUGGACAGUUUAUAGAUGGCCACCAGAUCCCCUCUCAGCCUUCUCUUGUGGAGGCUGAACAGGUUCAGGUCUUGUAGCUGCAUGUCAUAGGGCCGUCCCUGCUGCCCCCUGAUCAUGCAAGUGGCCCUCCUCUGGACCCUCUCUAUGUUGUCCACAUCCCUCCUGAAAUGCAGUGCCCAGAACUGGAUGCAGUACUCCAACCGCGGCCUGACCAAUGUCAUAUAGAGGGGGAGGAUCACCUCCUUGGACCUGCUUGUGAUGCAUCUGUAGAUGCAUGACAAGGUGCAGUUAGCCUUGCUGACUGCAUCCUCACAUUGGCAGCCCAUGUUCAUCUUGGAGUUGAUAAUGACGACUCUGUGCUGACAAGAAGGGAGUUCCCCAGCCUGUAGGUAUGGUGCUGGUUCUUUCUCCCUAGGUGCAGUACCCUGCACUUGUUAGUAUUGAAUCCCAUCUUAUUCUCAGCUGCCCACCCCUGUAACCUGUCCAGAUCCAAUUGCAGCCUGUCCCUCCCUUCUGGCGUGCCUACUUCUCCCCACAUCUUAGUGUCAUCUGCAAAGUUGAACAAGGUGCUUUUCAUCCCGUCAUCCAAGUCGCUGAUGAAGAUGUUGAACAGUGCAGGCCCAAGGACCGAGUCCUGGGGGACCCCACUGCCCACAUCCCUCCAGGUCGAAAAUGACCCGUCCACCACCACUCUCUGGGUGCGACCCUCCAGCCAACUGGCGACCCAUCUGACUGUGUAGGCAUCAACAUCACAAUCUCCUAAUUUUUUAACAAGAAUGGGGUGAGAGACAGUGUCGAAGGCCUUCCUAAAGUCCAGAAAGACUACAUCCACUGCUACACCUGCAUCUAAGGAUUUUGUGACCUCGUCAUAGAAGGCCACCAGGUUGGUCUGACAGGACCUACCUCUAAUGAACCCAUGUUGGUUGCCCCUAAGCAUACACUCCCCUGCUUGCCCCUUGCAGAUGUGCACCUGGAUAAUUUUCUCAAAGAGCUUCCCCAGGACCAAGUUUAAAGCCCGACGGAGAAGAUCAGCCAACCUGAAAGAGAGCGCAUGCUUACCUUUGGGGGAGAAGUGAAGCCCAUCCCACCCAAGCACGUCUCUUGUCUUGAAGUAUGGGUCAUGGUCCAAGAAGCCGAAGCCUGCCUCAAGACACCAUUCUCAAAGGCUCAAGUUGACCUCUCUGAUGCAGGUCUCAUGGCGUCAUCCACGUCCGCUCACUGGAAGGACAGAUGAGAAGACCACCUGUGCCCCUGUCUCCUUCAGCUGCCCCAAAGCAGAAGUCUGACCAUGAAGCAGGAGCUUAGCCAGUAUCCCCAGGACACUCCAACUACCCAGACCCUUUGUUUUCCUUAUCACAAAUCGGCAGUUAUGACAGAAAGGAGAGUGGAAGAAAGAAAAGGAAAAAAAAAAGAAGACAGAAAACUCAGGAGGAAGAGGAAGACAAACUAGAACCCAGGAGAGGCAUAAGAAAAAGGAUUUUCCUACCAGUUAUGCUUGUGACUCUCUCUUGAUUUGCACAACUACAAGAAUGCUUUGAAGAUGCUGAGCUGAAGGGUAGAAGAGGGGAAUGAAACUACUAACAGACAUGCUUCAAGAGUAAGGAAUCUCUCUGACAUGAACUGCUACUGUGCCAAGCUGUCUCAAGAAGCUGAAAAAGAAACAGACUGCCUCUGUCGCCUGUUUGGUGAGAAAUUAUCCCCUUAUAGCUAAAUACUGGACUUUGCUUUGGUUUGGGCUCAUUUAACCUUGAAUACUUUUAGUAAAAAAGCCUAUCUGUCAUUUAUCGAAAGAGAUGUCAUAUCAAUCCUUUAAUAUUAGUCUGGGAUCCCAUUUUAUUACUUAACAGGUGCAAGCAGAGGAAGAGUUGACAGUAGCAGUGGUUCUGGCAUGGUGACAUCCUCCAGCCAUUUCUUUGGGUCUCUUAAUCCAGUGGUUGCCAACCUUUUUUGUUCUGAAGACCAGCAUUGGAGUGGGACCGGGCACACGGAGCUGGCUGCCUCCCUCCUGGGGCUGCCCUAGUGCCUAGCACAUGACUGCCACUCACCUGGAAGCUGCUCACCCAGGUGGACAGAUGGGGGGUCUGCACGGUGGGUUCCUGCCACAACCCAGUAGCCAACUCUUCAAGGUCUGGUACUGGGCAACAGCCCAGUGGUUGGGAAUCUCUGUCUUAAUUCACUGCCUUUCUCUUCCUGUCCUUCUUCUAAGUAGACCUUCCCUAACAAACUUGUCUUUAAGCUGGCCUCUUCCCUGCAUCUUGGCCCAGAAAGGUUCCUUUUUCUCUGUUUCCUCUUACUAAGCUUACAGCAAAAGAAGGUGCUUCUGUAAUGGGGGUCCAAUGAUAAUCAAAAAAGAAAUCACAGUCCGUCUGAUUUAUGGGUGGAUGUGCAGAUCUGAAACCUGGAAUUAGGAUGGCAUUAACUAUGUAAAUUAUUUUUGGGCCUAUUGAGCUGAGACAGAAGAAAAAGUCAAGUAAGAAAAACUUAGUAAAUUGUAAGUUUAAUUGAUUAUGAGCACCUGACACAGGGCAGCUUCUUGGGAACAGGAGGCAAUACCAUGCAGUAGAUAAAUAGGAAGGCUUGUUUUGUUUUCCAUGUUCAGCCAGACAUUUGAUUCACCUGAACAUCAUGUUUCCACUCAAGAAGCAGUACCAAACCCCACCCCCCAAACAACUAAUAGUAGUAAUAAUAUGGUGCAGAAAUUCUCAAAUCCCUGGUGGAAUAGGGAUAAUCUGCUUCC